UACGGAGGGUGCAAGCGUUAUCCGGAUUCACUGGGUUUAAAGGGUGCGUAGGCGGGCAGGUAAGUCAGUGGUGAAAUCUCCGAGCUUAACUUGGAAACUGCCGUUGAUACUAUCUGUCUUGAAUAUUGUGGAGGUGAGCGGAAUAUGUCAUGUAGCGGUGAAGUGCUUAGAUAUGACAUAGAACACCAAUUGCGAAGGCAGCUCGCUACACAUAUAUUGACUCUGAGGCACGAAAGCGUGGGGAUCAAACAGG
rnacentral:rRNA from 1 species